GUGCUUGCUUAGGCAUCACAUAUACUAAAAUUGGAAUGAUACAGAAAAGAUUAGCAUGGCCCCUGUGCAAGGAUGACAUGCAAAUUCAUGAAGCGUUCCAUAUUUUU